UACGUAGGGUGCAAGCGUUGUCCGGAAUUAUUGGGCGUAAAGAGCUUGUAGGCGGUUUGUCGCGUCUGCUGUGAAAUUUCGGGGCUCAACCCCGAACUUGCAGUGGGUACGGGCAGACUAGAGUGUGGUAGGGGAGACUGGAAUUCCUGGUGUAGCGGUGAAAUGCGCAGAUAUCAGGAGGAACACCAGCGGCGAAGGCGGCGCUCUGGGCUGGAACUGACGCUGAGGAGCGAAAGCGUGGGGAGCGAACAGG
rnacentral:rRNA from 1 species